UCCUCCUCUCCAUCCCCCGGGGUCUAAAAUGAGAUCAGCAACUGAAGUCACCCAGAGAUAAUCCAGGUGAACCCUGGAGCUUUGAUAUAAACAGAGGUUCCAGCUGGCUUGGACUCAACUCUGCCCUGGUCCUUAAAAUACUCCUCCUUGGAGCCCGGUUUCUCACUGUCAGAGAAAACAAGAAUGAACUUUAAUGGCGUCCACUGGAAUUGGAAUCUGGCUAUCAGCGUGAAGUCAUGAUUUCCAAGCCCUAGAGAAAGCUAUCGAGAGAAAUACAGAUAGUACAGCUGCGUGCACAAUUGAAAAUCCGCUUUUGGGGGCACCUGGGUGGCUCAGU